rnacentral:rRNA from 1 species
CCCCUAUCUUUAGUUGCCAACAGGUAAUGCUGGGAACUCUAAAGAAACUGCCGCCGUAAGGCGUGAGGAAGGAGGGGAUGAUGUCAAGUCAUCAUGGCCUUUAUGCCCAGGGCGACACACGUGCUACAAUGGUCAGGACAAAGGGCUGCUACCUAGCGAUAGGAUGCUAAUCCCAUAUACCUGAUCUCAGUUCAGAUUGCAGGCUGCAACUCGCCUGCAUGAAGCUGGAAUCGCUAGUAAUCGUAUAUCAGCAAUGAUACGGUGAUACGUUCCCGGACCUUGCACACACCGCCCGUCAAGCCAUGGGAGUCGGGUGUA